rnacentral:lncRNA from 1 species
UCAGGAUUGUUUUUUUUACAGGAAACAGAAAAAAAAAAAAGAAAAGUUCAGAAAAAGACGUUGAAGAAUGGAAAGAGCUGGAGUGACAUGGUCAAUGCAGUAAGAUAGAUCUUCCUCCUGUCUCUGAAUCCACCCUGAUCAUAUUCACACGCCAUCCAAAAACAGAUAAUUUCCAAAGUUUAGAUUCAUCUCUACAAUAAAGAGAGAAAAACAGGCAUUCUCAGAAGGGCACCCAUGCAUCCCUUCAGGCUUGAGUACACAGUAAUAGCUCUAUGCACUUCUAUGAAGAUACUCAGUGAAAAGGAACUUCUUGCAUUCAUCGUUCACCGGUCAUAGUUACCAUGGAGCAGUCCGUC